AGGGAUGUAGCAUAGCUUGGUAGCGCUUUUGUUUUGGGUGCAAAAUUUUAUGGGUUCAAUUCUUGUCAUCCCUA